CUUGAUGCAUUGGAAUCAUUGGAUUUAGAACUUGAAAUGAUGAAGGAAAGAUUUGCAAAACUUUUACUUGGAGAAGACAUGUCUGGAAAUGGAAAAGGAGUCUGCACGACUGUUACCAUCUCAAAUGCCAUAACCAAUCUUUAUGCGACUGUAUUCGGGCAAAAUUUGAGGUUGGAGCCUUUGAACCCUGAAAAGAAGGCACUUUGGAAAAGAGAAAUGGACCGUCUUUUAUCUGUCUGUGAUUACAUUG